GCCGGGCGGCGUGUGGGGCACGGGCCUUUAAAGUUGGCCUGCCCAGACUCUUCGUAGGAAGCUUUUUGGUUCCUGCUGACCUGCGAGGACAUAAACUGCGGGAAGGAAAAGAAGGCGUGCUGGUCACAAAAUCAAGCAAGCAUCCAGAGAGCAGAAAUAAAGAAACUGCAAGAUGGCACUCAGACAGAACCUGCCUCAUCCUGAAGGACCUUGAUCCCACCCCAGUAUCCUGUUAAGCAAUCGGCGAGCUCCUACCUGGGUU